CAGCCGCCGCGGUAAUACGUAGGUGGCAAGCGUUAUCCGGAAUUAUUGGGCGUAAAGCGCGCGUAGGCGGUUUCUUAAGUCUGAUGUGAAAGCCCACGGCUCAACCGUGGAGGGUCAUUGGAAACUGGGAAACUUGAGUGCAGAAGAGGAAAGUGGAAUUCCAUGUGUAGCGGUGAAAUGCGCAGAGAUAUGGAGGAACACCAGUGGCGAAGGCGACUUUCUGGUCUGUAACUGACGCUGAUGUGCGAAAGCGUGGGGAUCAAACAGGAUUAGAUACCCCAGUAGUCCAUGUCUCUUAUAU
rnacentral:rRNA from 1 species